AGAGACAGCAGUCGCCGCGGUAAUACGAAGGGGGCUAGCGUUGUUUGGAAUUACUGGGCGUAAAGCGCACGUAGGCGGAUAUUUAAGUCAGGGGUGAAAUCCCAGAGCUCAACUCUGGAACUGCCUUUGAUACUGGGUAUCUUGAGUAUGGAAGAGGUGAGUGGAAUUCCGAGUGUAGAGGUGAAAUUCGUAGAUAUUCGGAGGAACACCAGUGGCGAAGGCGGCUCACUGGUCCAUUACUGACGCUGAGGUGCGAAAGCGUGGGGAGCAAACAGGAUUAGAUACCCCCGUAGUCCCUGUCUCUUAUAC
rnacentral:rRNA from 1 species